AGACAUUGAAAUGAUCAAUUUAUUAUUCUAUUAAGACUAUUACUUUAAAUAUAAAUUGUAAUAGGCCAAUUUUGAGCCUGGACCCAAGACCCAAAAAUAAACAGAAAUAAAACAUAAAAAUAAAUAGUCCAAAACAGUCCAAUUACAAAUUACUAGCCUAAAUUACAAUAGCCCAAACGGCCCAAUAAUAUUAAAACCCUAGCAGCCCAAAAAGAUCCAAAACUAAACUAAUUUUCAGCAAUGGUAGAAACCCUAGCCGCCAAACUUUAAGCCUGCCUAUGCCUACCGCCGCACGCCACAGCCUCUCCACGUGCGUCUGACACUCCAUUGCGGCCAUAUGCAAAAAACCACGUCUGACACUCCACUACGGCCAUCUGUAAAAAAACCAACACACAAAGUAUAAGAGACAACAAAGAAAAGACAAGGAACAACAACAAACAAAAACAAAAAGACAAAAACGGAUCUUGUAAUAUUGGCUAUAAAAGCCCCAACAUUAUCUUUGUAAUUCCCCCCCCCCGGAACAUAGAGAAAUCAAAUACAAUAACAAAAGAAUUUUGAAACAGAAUCAAGAAUCGAAAAUGUGCCUUUUUAUUUUAUUAUUCAAAAUAAAAUAAAUAAAUAAUAAUAAACUUACAGUCGUUUUGCUUUUUUAUCGCUUCCGGAGGCUAUCGUCGACUCCUGGACACCUCGUAACACGUUGGGUUUCUGAUAAGGGUCCGAAAGGGGAAACAGUGAGGCCGAAAGCCCUUGUUUUUUUAUUUUUCUCUUUUCAUUUUCAUCGUUUUUUUGGUUCAAAAACACCCAAAUCGGGUUUGCAAAGGGGAAAAGAGGUCUAAAGGGCCGAUUUUGGUGCACCUCCAGCCACCGUCCACGACAGGCCGCGAUGGUGCGGCAACUGACCGCCGAUGGCCUUCUUGGCUAAUUUUUAGGUUUAGCCUAGAGAGAGACAGGAGAAUAAAGAGUUUUUUUGUUUUGUUUUUCUUUUA
rnacentral:lncRNA from 1 species